GAGGGUAGAGCUCAAAUGCUAGAGCACAUGCCUAGCAUGCACAAGGUCCUGGGUUCAAUCCCUAGUACCUCCU
rnacentral:tRNA from 1 species